GAUGAACGCUGGCGGCGUGCCUAAUACAUGUAAGUCGAGCGAAUGGAUUAAGAGCUUGCUCUUAUGAAGUUAGCGGCGGACGGGUGAGUAACACGUGGGUAACCUGCCCAUAAGACUGGGAUAACUCCGGGAAACCGGGGCUAAUACCGGACAAUAUUUAGAACUGCAUGGUUCAAAAUUGAAAGGCGGCUUCGGCUGUCACUUAUGGAUGGACCCGCGUCGCAUUAGCUAGUUGGUGAGGUAACGGCUCACCAAGGCAACGAUGCGUAGCCGACCUGAGAGGGUGAUCGGCCACACUGGGACUGAGACACGGCCCAGACUCCUACGGGAGGCAGCAGAAGGGAAUCUUCCGCAAUGGACGAAAGUCUGACGGAGCAACGCCGCGUGAGUGAUGAAGGCUUUCGGGUCGUAAAACUCUGUUGUUAGGGAAGAACAAGUGCUAGUUGAAUAAGCUGGCACCUUGACGGUACCUAACCAGAAAGCCACGGCUAACUACGUGCCAGCCGCCGCAGUAA
rnacentral:rRNA from 1 species